rnacentral:rRNA from 1 species
UACGGAGGGAGCUAGCGUUGUUCGGAAUUACUGGGCGUAAAGCGCGCGUAGGCGGCCUUGUAAGUUAGAGGUGAAAGCCCGGGGCUCAACCCCGGAACAGCCUUUGAGACUGCAUCGCUAGAAUCUUGGAGAGGUCAGUGGAAUUCCGAGUGUAGAGGUGAAAUUCGUAGAUAUUCGGAAGAACACCAGUGGCGAAGGCGACUCACUGGACAAGUAUUGACGCUGAGGUGCGAAAGCGUGGGGAGCAAACAGG